rnacentral:rRNA from 1 species
UGCUUUUGCGGCAAGAGCGGGUCACCGCGUACCGGCCGGGGGAUGGACUGGGAACAGAUCCUUCGGGGGCCUUCCCCGGGCGUCGAACAUCCAACUCAGAACUGGUACAGACAAGGGGAAUCCGACUGUUUAAUUAAAACAAAGCAUUGCAAUGGUCCCUGCGGAUGUUUACGCAAUGUGAUUUCUGCCCAGUGCUCUGAAUGUCAAAGUGAAGAAAUUCAACCAAGCACGGGUAAAUGGCGGGAGUAACUAUGGCUCUCUUAAGUUAGCCAAAUGCCUCGUCAUCUAAUUAGUGACGUGCAUGAAUGGAUUAUCCAGUGAAACCACAGCCAAGGGAACAGGCUUGGCAGAAUCAGCAGGGAAAGAAGACCCUGUUGAGCUUGACUCUAGUCCGACUUUGUGAAAUGACUUGAUAGGCGUAGUAUAAGUGGUAGCCGAAAGGCGAAAGUGAAAUACCACUACUUUUAACGUUAUUUUACUUAUUCUGUGAAUCGGAAGUGGGGCACUGCCCCUCUUUUUGGAACCAAGGCUUGCUUGCAGGCCGAUCCAUGCAAAAGACAUUGUCAGGUGGGGAGUUUGGCUGGGGCGGAACAUCCGUUGAAAGAUAACGCAGGUGUCCUACGAUGAGCUCAACGAGAAUAAAAAUCUCGUGUGGAACAAAAGGGUAAAUUCGCGUGGCCUAACGAUCCUUUAGGCCUUCGAAAUUCGAAGCUAGAGGUGUUAGAAAAGUUACCACAGGGAUAACUGGCUUGUGUCAGCCAAGCGUUCAUAGCGACGUUGCUUUUUGAUCCUUCGAUGUUGGCUCUUCCUAUCAUUGUGAAGCAAAAUUCACCAAGUGUUGGAUUGUUCACCCACCAAUAGGGAACAUGAGCUGGGUUUAGAAGGUCGUGAGACAAGUUAGUUUUACCCUACAGAUGACAGUGUCGCAAUAGUAAUUCAACCUAGUACGAGAGGAAUCGUUGAUUCGCAUAAUUGGUCAUCGCGCUUGGUUGAAAUCCAGUGGCACGAAGCUACCGUGCGCUGGAUUAUGACUGAAUGCCUCUAAGUCAGAAUUCGGGCUAGAAGCGACGCAUGCUCCCGCCGUCCGCAUGCCGAUCCGCAGUAGGGGCCUUUG